GACGAACGCUGGCGGCGCGCUUAACACAUGCAAGUCGAGCGAGAACCAGACCUUCGGGUCUGGGGAAAGCGGCGAACGGGUGAGUAACACGUGGGUAACCCACCCUUGGCACUGGGAUAGCCCGGGGAAACCCGGAUUAAUACCGGAUGGCCCAACAGCUCUUCGGGGCGGUUGGAAAAGGUAGCUUCGGCCUCCGGCCAAGGACGGGCCCGCGGCGGAUUAGCUUGUUGGUGGGGUAACGGCCCACCAAGGCGACGAUCCGUAGCUGGUCUGAGAGGACGAUCAGCCACACUGGGACUGAGACACGGCCCAGACUCCUACGGGAGGCAGCAGUGGAGAAUCUUGCGCAAUGGGCGAAAGCCUGACGCAGCGACGCCGCGUGGGGGAAGAAGGCUUUCGGGUUGUAAACCCCUUUCAGGAGGGACGAAGCCACUCGGGUGAAUAGCCCAGAGGGUGACGGUACCUCCAGAAGAAGCCCCGGCUAACUACGUGCCAGCAGCCGCCGUAAGAC
rnacentral:rRNA from 1 species